GAUUAACGCUAGCGGCAGGCCUAAUACAUGCAAGUUGUACGGGAUUAUUGGUAGCAAUACUGAUAUGAGAGUAGCGCACGGGUGCGUAACACGUAUGCAACCUGCCUUUAACUGGGGAAUAGCUCACCGAAAGGUGAAUUAACACCGCAUAAAAUCACAGAAGGACAUCCUUCAAUGAUUAAAUCUCCGGAGGUUAAAGAUGGGCAUGCGUCCGAUUAGCUAGNGGCGGGGUAACAGCCCACCAAGGCAACGAUCGGUA
rnacentral:rRNA from 1 species